rnacentral:rRNA from 1 species
UACGUAGGAUGCAAGCGUUGUCCGGAAUUACUGGGCGUAAAGCGCGCGCAGGCGGCUAUCCAAGUCAGUGGUGAAAGCCCGGAGCUCAACUCCGGAACUGCCAUUGAAACUGUUUAGCUUGAGGAUGAGAGAGGUGAGUGGAAUUCCCAGUGUAGAGGUGAAGUUCGUAGAUAUUGGGAAGAACACCGGUGGCGAAGGCGGCUCACUGGCUCAUUACUGACGCUCAGGCGCGAUAGCGUGGGGAUCAAACAGG